UAGAGGGUGCUCGAAAGAGAGCCGUAACACAGGUGCUGCAUGGCUGUCGUCAGCUCGUGUCGUGAGAUGUUGGUUAAGUCCCGCAACGAGCGCAACCCUUGUCAUUAGUUGCUACAUUCAGUUGGGCACUCUAAUGAGACUGCCGGUGACAAGCCGGAGGAAGUGGGGAUGACGUCAAGUCCUCAUGGCCCUUAUAGGUGGGGCUACACACGUCAUACAAUGGCUGGUACAAAGGGUUGCCAACCCGCGAGGGGGAGCUAAUCCCACAAAGCCAGUCGUAGUCCGGAUCGUAGUCUGCAACUCGACUACGUGAAGUCGGAAUCGCUAGUAAUCGUGGAUCAGAAUGUCACGGUGAAUACGUUCCCGGGUCUU
rnacentral:rRNA from 1 species